UCUGAUACUUAAGAGACUUGAGACAAUAGAUUAGAUUCAGUCCUCAGUUACAUCUACAUGAAUCCAAUUAUGAACAAUGCAAUUACUCUGGAUUCAAAUUUGGUCUAGUUAACUGUAGUUGCACCAUCAAAAGUAUGUUCUACUGUCAUAUAACAUCAGGGUUGGAAGGGACCUCAGGAGGUCAUCUAGUCCAACCCUCUAUUCAAAGCCGGACCAAUCCCUAAUUUUUGCCCCAGAUCCCUAAAUGGCCCCCUCAAGGAUUGAACUCACAACCCAGGGUUUAGCAGGCCAGUGCUGAAACCUCUGAGCUAUCCCUCCCCUCCCAAAAUGUUUU